UGUCAGUACUGUUCAAUCACUUAUUAAGAAGUGGAAAGUUCUAGGAUUCUGGCGUGAGCUAUAAAGGCACGGGGAAUCUUGUGAAAAUAAAUGGCAAGAUAAAUGCAGCAUGUUCUAUGAAAAUACUGGCAGACAAUUUGCAUUCUUCUGCAUGAAGGCUGCGCAUGGGACCCUCUUGGACUUUCCGGCAUGACAAUGACCCUGAGCACAAGGCCAAGUUGACCCUCCAGUGGUUACAGCAAAAAAAGGUGAAGGUUCUGGAGUGGCCAUCACAGUCUCCUUACCUCAAUAUCGAGCCAUUCUGGGGAGAUCUCAAACGUGAGGUUCAUGCAAGGCGACCAAAGUCUUUGCAUGACUUGGAGGCAUUUUGCCAUGAUAAAUUUCCCUACCU